rnacentral:piRNA from 1 species
AACAAUGUCACAUGGAUGAUGCCAAGUUC